rnacentral:rRNA from 1 species
GAUGAACGCUGGCGGCGUGCCUAACACAUGCAAGUCGAACGAAGCACCUUGCCUGAUUCUUCGGAUGAAGGUCUGGUGACUGAGUGGCGGACGGGUGAGUAACGCGUGGGUAACCUGCCCUGUACAGGGGGAUAACAGUUGGAAACGGCUGCUAAUACCGCAUAAGCGCACGAGAGGACAUCCUCUUGUGUGAAAAACUCCGGUGGUACAGGAUGGGCCCGCGUCUGAUUAGCUGGUUGGCAGGGUAACGGCCUACCAAGGCGACGAUCAGUAGCCGGUCUGAGAGGAUGAACGGCCACAUUGGAACUGAGACACGGUCCAAACUCCUACGGGAGGCAGCAGUGGGGAAUAUUGCACAAUGGGGGAAACCCUGAUGCAGCAACGCCGCAUGAGUGAAGAAGUAUUUCGGUAUGUAAAGCUCUAUCAGCAGGGAAGAUAAUGACGGUACCUGACUAAGAAGCUCCGGCUAAAUACGUGCCAGCCGCCGCAGUAA